rnacentral:rRNA from 1 species
AGAGUUUGAUCCUGGCUCAGGAUAAACGCUAGCGGCAGGCCUAACACAUGCAAGUCGAGGGGCAGCGGAAGAAGUAGCUUGCUACUUCUGCCGGCGACCGGCGCACGGGUGCGUAACGCGUAUGCAACCUACCUUUAACAGGGGGAUAAUCCGAAGAAAUUUGGUCUAAUACCCCAUAAUAUUUCAGAAGGCAUCUUUUGAGGUUGAAAACUCCGGUGGUUAAAGAUGGGCAUGCGUUGUAUUAGCUAGAUGGUGAGGUAACGGCUCACCAUUGCGAUGAUACAUAGGGGGACUGAGAGGUUUUCCCCCCACACUGGUACUGAGACACGGACCAGACUCCUACGGGAGGCAGCAGUGAGGAAUAUUGGUCAAUGGACGCAAGUCUGAACCAGCCAUGCCGCGUGCAGGAUGAAGGUGCUAUGCAUUGUAAACUGCUUUUGUACGAGGGUAAAUUCAGAUACGUGUAUCUGUUUGAAAGUAUCGUACGAAUAAGGAUCGGCUAACUCCGUGCCAGCAGCCGCGGUAAUACGGAGGAUCCGAGCGUUAUCCGGAUUUAUUGGGUUUAAAGGGAGCGUAGGCGGACGCUUAAGUCAGUUGUGAAAGUUUGCGGCUCAACCGUAAAAUUGCAGUUGAUACUGGGUGUCUUGAGUACAGUAGAGGCAGGCGGAAUUCGUGGUGUAGCGGUGAAAUGCUUAGAUAUCACGAAGAACUCCGAUUGCGAAGGCAGCUUACUGGACUGUAACUGACGCUGAUGCUCGAAAGUGUGGGUAUCAAACAGGAUUAGAUACCCUGGUAGUCCACACAGUAAACGAUGAAUACUCGCUGUUUGCGAUAUACAGUAAGCGGCCAAGCGAAAGCGUUAAGUAUUCCACCUGGGGAGUACGCCGGCAACGGUGAAACUCAAAGGAAUUGACGGGGGCCCGCACAAGCGGAGGAACAUGUGGUUUAA